UACGGAGGGGGCUAGCGUUGUUCGGAAUUACUGGGCGUAAAGCGCACGUAGGCGGCUUGUAAGUUAGAGGUGAAAGCCCAGGGCUUAACCCUGGAAUUGCCUUUAGACUGCAUCGCUAGAAUCGUGGAGAGGUGAGUGGAAUUCCGGAGUGUAGAGGUGAAAUUCGUAGAUAUUGGAAGAAAGCACCAGUGGCGAAGGCGGACUCACUUGGGACACGAAUUGACGCUG
rnacentral:rRNA from 1 species